GGCACGUGGGUGUUUCAAAGGGGGAGCUAUGGGAGCUGCUUGGACUGACGGGGCUUGUGCUGGUGGUAGUGGGUGUUAUGGUGGCUGUAGGGCUCUGUGGUAUGGGUUAUAGUGGCCGUAGGUCUCUGCGGCAGUUGUUAUGGUGGCUAUAGGGCUCUGGCAGCGGUGGUUAUGGUGGCUAUAGGGCUCUGUGGUAGUGGUUAUGGUGGCUGUCAGGCUCUGCGGCAGUGGUUAUGGUGUCUGUAGGGCUCUGUGGUAGUGGUUAUGGUGGCCGUAGGGCUCUGGCGGUGGUUAUGGUGGCUGUAAGGCUCUGCGGCAGUGGUUAUGGUGGCUGUAGGGCUCUGUGGUAGUGGUUAUGGUGGCCGUAGGGCUCUGGCAGCCGUGGUUAUGGUGGCCGUAGGGCUCUGGCAGCGGUGGUUAUGGUGGCCGUAGGGCUCUGGCAGUGGUGGUUAUGGUGGCCGUAGGUCUCUGUGGCGGUGGUUAUGGCCGUAGGGCUCUGGCGUGGUUAUGGUGGCCGUAGGAUUUCGGCAGUGGUUAUGGUGGCUGUAGGGCUCUGUGGUAGUGGUUAUGGUGGCUAUAGGGGUCUGGCAGUGGUGGUUAUGGUGGCUGUAGGGCUCUGUGGUAGUGGUUAUGGUGGCUGUAGGGCUCUGUGGUAUGGGUUAUAGUGGCCGUAGGGCUCUGGCAGCGGUGGUUAUGGUGGCUAUAGGGCUCUGGCAGCGGUGGUUAUGGUGGCUAUAGGGCUC